AAAUCCUGAUGGCAGAGUCUGGUCAUCUACAAAUCGCUGACUUUGGUCUGGCGACAGAGAACAUCUUUGGUGACCAGGCCACCACAGAAUAGGCUGGGACCCCUGGAUUUAUAGCUCCAGAGCUCCUGUGUUGAUCCCUCUAGGCGAUUAGGAGUCAACGGCAACAUCCGCCAGCAUCAGUUGUUCCAGUGUAUAGAUUGGGUCUCGCUGGAAGCCCUGAGAGUAACACCACCACAUGUCCCUGAUCCACUCGCCAUAACACACGGCUCCUGAGGGUUUAACAUCAGGAGGAUAGAAGCAGCACUGGCACAGAAAACACUAGAAGGAGAAAUUGACCAGGAGCUCUUGAGAGGCUUGUUAUAUGUGGGCUCCAUCUUGAGGACCUUGCACUGAUCACCACUUCCAGCACAAGGAGAUGGAAUCAUAGGGGGUAAUUCAGAGUUGAUCGCAGAUGCGCAUGGCAGGCCCUACCCCCCUUUCCCGCACAGGUACAAAAGCAUUGCAUGGUGGCAAUGCUUCUGUACCUGGUGGGAGCUACCCACCAAAUUCUGGGUCAUGCAACCGCCGCAGGCCCACCGCGGGGCCCCCCCCCAACGGUCUGGACACGCCUCCGAUGUCCGGACCGCGCCCCGCCAAUGGCGUUCUAAUGCCGUUGGCACGCACCCUCCUGCCCCGCCACCGCCUCUGCCUGUCAAUCAGGCAGAGGUGAUCUCAGCCAGUGAGAUGCUGAUAGCAUCUCACUUGGCUCCCGGCGCGCACAUACAUCAAGACAUACAAACAAAACAAACUGGACAGUUCUGACAGUGUCUUAUGUUCCUUUACUGUAUGCAUAUCCUAUCAUAAUAUUUAAAUAGAAAAAAAAAGGAGUGUAUUCAUAUGUGUGCUUCCAUUUAUUAUAUUUAUCUCCAUGUCUAUCAAUUUAUAGUGAACAAAUGUCUAAAAUAGAUUAAUGUUAA